rnacentral:tRNA from 1 species
UGGCUCAGAUGGUAAAGCGUCUGCCUGCAAUGCAGGAGACCCAGGUUCAAUCCCUGG